rnacentral:rRNA from 1 species
CCUACGGGAGGCUGCAGUCGAGAAUCUUUCGCAAUGGGGGAAACCCUGACGAAGCGACGCCGCGUGCAGGAUUAAGGCCUUCGGGUUGUAAACUGCUGUCGGCUGGGAAGAAACAGCAAACGAUUAAUAAUCGUAUGCUCUGACGGUACCAGCAAAGGAAGCCACGGCUAACUCUGUGCCAGCAGCCGCGGUAAUACAGAGGUGGCAAGCGUUGUUCGGAUUUAUUGGGCGUAAAGGGUCCGUAGGCGGUUUGGAUAGUCGGAUGUGAAAUCCCACAGCUUAACUGUGGAACUGCAUUCGAAACUUCCAGACUGGAGUGUGAGAGGGGUAAAGAGAAUUCCUGGUGUAAGGGUGAAAUCUGCAGAGAUCAGGAAGAAUACCAGUCGCGAAGGCGCUUUACUGGCUCACAACUGACGCUGAGGGACGAAAGCUAGGGGAGC